ACGCUGGCGGCACGCCUAACACAUGCAAGUCGAACGAAGUAGCAAUACUUAGUGGCAGACGGGUGAGUAACAUGUAGGUAUCUGCCCUUUGGCCUGGAAUAACACGAGGAAACUUGUGCUAAUACCGGAUAAGUCUUUACAGAGAAAGCUUUAUGCACCAUUGGAUGAGCCUGCACUUGAUUAGUUUGUUGGUGGGGUAAUGGCCUACCAAGACUGUGAUCAAUAGCUGAUUUGAGAGGAUGAUCAGCCACAUUGGGACUGAGACACGGCCCAAACUCCUACGGGAGGCAGCAGUGGGGAAUCUUGCACAAUGGAGGAAACUCUGAUGCAGCGAUGCCGCGUGAGUGAAGAAGGCCUUUGGGUUGUAAAGCUCUUUCGUCGGGGAAGAAAAUGACUGUACCCGAAUAAGAAGGUCCGGCUAACUUCGUGCCAGCAGCCGCGGUAAUACGAAGGGACCUAGCGUAGUUCGGAAUUACUGGGCUUAAAGAGUUCGUAGGUGGUUGAAAAAGUUAGUGGUGAAAUCCCCAGAGCUUAACUCUGGAACUGCCAUUAAAACUUUUCAGCUAGAGUAUGAUAGAGGAAAGCAGAAUUUCUAGUGUAGAGGUGAAAUUCGUAGAUAUUAGAAAGAAUACCAAUUGCGAAGGCAGCUUUCUGGAUCAUUACUGACACUGAGGAACGAAAGCAUGGGUAGCGAAGAGGAUUAGAUACCCUCGUAGUCCAUGCCGUAAACGAUGUGUGUUAGACGUUGGAAAUUUAUUUUCAGUGUCGCAGGGAAACCGAUAAACACACCGCCUGGGGAGUACGACCGCAAGGUUAAAACUCAAAUGAAUUGACGGGGACCCGCACAAGUAGUGGAGCAUGUGGUUUAAUUCGAAGAUACGCGCAGAACCUUACCAACACUUGACAUGUUCGUCGCGACUCUAAGAGAUUAGAGUUUUCGGUUCGGCCGGACGAAACACAGGUGCUGCAUGGCUGUCGUCAGCUCGUGUCGUGAGAUGUUGGGUUAAGUCCCGCAACGAGCGCAACCCUCACUUUUAGUUGCCAUCAUUAAGUUGGGCACUCUGAAAGAACUGCCAGUGAUAAGCUGGAGGAAGGUGGGGAUGACGUCAAGUCCUCAUGGCCCUUACGUGUUGGGCUACACACGUGCUACAAUGGUAUCUACAACAGGAAGCAAGACUGCGAAGUUAAGCAAAUCCCUAAAAGAUACCUCAGUUCGGAUUGCACUCUGCAACUCGAGUGCAUGAAGCUGGAAUUACUAGUAAUCGUGGAUCAGCGUGCCACGGUGAAUGCGUUCCCGGGUCUUGUACACACCGC
rnacentral:rRNA from 1 species